rnacentral:rRNA from 1 species
CACGUAGGGGACGAGCGUUGUCCGGAAUCAUUGGGCGUAAAGCGCGCGUAGGCGGCCCGGAAAGUCGGAUGUGAAAACCCGGGGCUCAACCCCGGGCCUGCAUCCGAUACUCCCGGGCUGGAGGCAGGUAGGGGAGAUCGGAAUUCCUGGUGUAGCGGUGAAAUGCGCAGAUAUCAGGAGGAACACCGGUGGCGAAGGCGGAUCUCUGGGCCUGUCCUGACGCUGAGGCGCGAAAGCUAGGGGAGCGAACAGG